AUUGAACGCUGGCGGCAGGCCUAACACAUGCAAGUCGAACGAGUGGCGGACGGGUGAGUAAUGUCUGGAAACCUGCCUGAUGGAGGGGGAUAACUGCUGGAAACGGUAGCUACUACCGCAUACGAUCGGAUGGGCCCAGAUGGGAUUAGCUAGUAGGUGGGGUAACGGCUCACCGAGGCGACGAUCCCUAGCUGGUCUGAGAGGAUGACCAGCCACACUGGAACUGAGACACGGUCCAGACUCCUACGGGAGGCAGCAGUGGGGAAUAUUGCACAAUGGGCGCAAGCCUGAUGCAGCCAUGCCGCGUGUAUGAAGAAGGUCUUCGGGUUGUAAAGCACUUUCAUCGGGGAGGCGUUACCCGCAGAAGAAGCACCGGCUAACUCCGUGCCAGCAGCCGCGGUAAUAC
rnacentral:rRNA from 1 species